CAAGGAUUACCGUAUGUCUUGUACCCCAUUACAGAUCCACACGAACUGUCAAGGAUUAUAGUAUGUCUUUUACACCAUUACAGAUCCAAACAAACUGUCAAGGAUAAUCGAAUGUCUUGUACACCAUUACAGAUCCAAACAAACUGUCAAGGAUUACCGUAUGUCUUUUACACCAUUACAGAACCACACGAACUGUCAAGGAUUACCGUAUGUCUUGUACACCAUUACAGAUCCAAACUGUCAAGGAUUACCGUAUGUCUUGUACACCAUUACAGAUCCACACGAACUGUCAAGGAUUACCGUGUCUUGCCCCAUUGUUUUGUACGUAAUUGAUGUGUUUGUAAAUCAUGUCUUUGUUCUGAUCAACUACGAUAACUUUCUUGCUGUGUAGAAAUAAGUGAACAAUUUAAUGUCUUUUGGCUUUGAGUCAAGUUGAGUUACUGUUUCAUAGUGUGUGUCUUGAAUUGAAAUCAUCAGUAGAUAAUCGGAUUGGGAUAUUUUAAAUGAUCUUACCAACACUAGUAGGUAAAGCAUUGAUGUAAAGUUAGUUUUGUCGCUGAAGUUAUUCAGUUAACUGGGAAAUUCUCCCAGUGAUAUUCGCUCGUCACUGUUAAAGCCAAUUUUGCCCAAUGUUAAUUGCAUAGUUGAAUUUUAUUUUGUGUACGGGUGGAAGAGAAACUGGCAAAACUUUUUAGUGCACAGAAUUUCUUGUGAAUAUACAUUUUUUUAUCAGAUAUAUAUUGUUAAUCAGACUAGUUUAAUUGGUGGUACAUUCCUUGUCAAAUUAUCUUUUAUCAUUUUAAUCCUUGUAAUUCCUGGAUCUGAUCUGUAAGACUAAAGGAUUCUUCGAGUUCCGUGGUGUCGACAGUUAGGCUGGUCUAGUUAGAAGUUUGAGGGAAUUAGGAUGUUAGACUAGUCUACACAAAUGUUUCAGGGGCUAGAGGUUAGACUAGUCUAUCUAGACCAAUCCAUACAAAAGUUUGUGGAGGUUAGACUAGUCUACUCCAAGGUUUGUGGGGAUGGGGGUUAGAAAUUAUGGUGGUCUAGCUAAACAAAGGUUUAUGAGGUUUAGAGGGUAGCCUAGUGUACCACGAGGAUUUGUAGGGGUUAAGAGGUUAGACUGACCCACUCCAAGGUUUGUGGGGGCUGGAGGACAGUCUAGUCUACCCCAUGGUUUAUAGGGGUUAGAGGUUAUGCUAGUCUACUCUAAUGUUUGUAGGGGUAAGAGAUUAGUCUAAUCCACUCCAAGGUUUGUUGGGGUUAGAUGUUAGGCUAAUCUGCUUCAAUGUUUGUGGGACAAGAGGCUAGAUUAGUCUACUCAGAGGAUUGUGUGGGUAAGAGGAUAGCCUACGUAGUCUUAAAGUCUAAGGGUGUUAGGAGGUUAAACUGACUCCUAGGUUUGUAGGGACUAGGCAAUAGACUGGUCUACUCCAGUGUUUGAGGAUGUUACAGAUUAGAUUAGUCUACUCCAAGGUUUAUGAGGGAUACAGACUAGAUUUAUCUUGUCCCAAAAUUUGUGAGGAUUACAGGUUGGACUAGUUUACUCCAAUAUUUAACUGUCAGGCUUACAGAUUUUAUGUAAUACACUGAAGGUGCUGUCCAUUCAAUAACUAGUCUCGUGUCAGUAGACAUGUUGAGAGUGGAUGGUGUAGAUCGGCACACUUUUACGUACAUCUAAUAUGCUUCACCAUAUUUGAGACAUGUGCUUGUGUUUGAUGAUACAUGUACUGGUAUUUCUAUGUAUGAUUAAAAUUCUACAAUUAAG